rnacentral:rRNA from 1 species
UACGUAGGGGGCUAGCGUUGUCCGGAUUUAUUGGGCGUAAAGAGCGUGUAGGCGGCCAGGUAGGUCUGCUGUGAAACUCGAGGCUCAACCUCGAGACGUCGGCGGAAACCAUCUGGCUAGAGUCCGGAAGAGGAGAGUGGAAGUUCCUGGUGUAGCGGUGAAAUGCGCAGAUAUCAGGAAGAACACCCGUGGCGAAGGCGACUUACUGGACACAUAUUGACGCUGAGGUGCGAAAGCGUGGGGAGCAAACAGG